rnacentral:rRNA from 1 species
CAUGCCGUAAACGAUGUCUACUAGCCGUUGGGGUCUUUGAGACCUUAGUGGCGCAGCUAACGCGAUAAGUAGACCGCCUGGGGAGUACGGUCGCAAGACUAAAACUCAAAUGAAUUGACGGGGGCCCGCACAAGCGGUGGAGCAUGUGGUUUAAUUCGAUGCAACGCGAAGAACCUUACCUGGCCUUGACAUACUAGAAACUUUCCAGAGAUGGAUUGGUGCCUUCGGGAAUCUAGAUACAGGUGC